GGCCCCCCCCGCCCCCCCCAAGCCCCCACGGGACCCCCCCCCCCCGCAGCCGCCGGCGGAGGAGCAGAGCAAAGAGGCGAAGAAGGAGAGCGGCGGCAGCAGCAGCAGCAGCAGCCGGAAGAAGCGGAGCCGGAGCCGGAGCCGGAGCCGCGACCACAGACACAGGUGAGGGCGUUUUGGGGCCGAACCCGGGGCUUUCGGGGCUUUC